GACAAGGAUUUAGGGUACUCUUUUUUUUUUUUUUUAUUUUCUCUUUCCUUCCAAAAUACAAGUGUCCGUAAGUAAAAAUUUAAAUUGUGUACAGUGCAACAUUAUUAUUUGUUGUUUGUGAUUUUACUUAUAUUAAUUCUCAAACUUGCUUAUGACUUUAAACUCGGGAUUUGUAGCUGAUCUUAGACCUUGAUAAUCAAAAUUUGCUAGCAUUUGUCGACAU
rnacentral:lncRNA from 1 species